AACGAACGCUGGCGGCAGGCUUAACACAUGCAAGUCGAACGCCCCGCAAGGGGAGCGACAGACGGGUGAGUAACGCGUGGGAAUCUACCGUACCCUACGGAAUAGCUCCGGGAAACUGGAAUUAAUACCGUAUACGCCCUACGGGGGAAAGAUUUAUCGGGGUAUGAUGAGCCCGCGUUGGAUUAGCUAGUUGGUGUGGUAAAGGCCUACCAAGGCGACGAUCCAUAGCUGGUCUGAGAGGAUGAUCAGCCACAUUGGGACUGAGACACGGCCCAAACUCCUACGGGAGGCAGCAGAGGGGAAUAUUGGACAAUGGGCGCAAGCCUGAUCCAGCCAUGCCGCGGGAGUGAUGAAGGUCUUAGGAUUGUAAAGCUCUUUCACCGAUGAAGAUAAUGACGGUAGUCGGAGAAGAAGCCCCGGCUAACUUCGUGCCAGCAGCCGCGGUAA
rnacentral:rRNA from 1 species